rnacentral:rRNA from 1 species
GACGAACCGUGCGAACGUUGUUCGGAUUCACUGGGCUUAAGGGCGCGUAGGCGGGUGGUCAAGUCAGGGGUGAAAGCCCACGGCCCAACCGUGGAAGUGCCUCUGAUACUGAUCGUCUUGAGGGAGGUAGGGGCAUGCGGAACUUCCGGUGGAGCGGUGAAAUGCGUAGAUAUCGGAAGGAACGCCGGUGGCGAAAGCGGCGUGCUGGACCUCUUCUGACGCUGAGGCGCGAAAGCCAGGGGAGCGAACGGG